rnacentral:rRNA from 1 species
GUCCGUUUGAAGAUAUAAAUGGUCUGGCCUGCUCACUGAUAAAAUUAUUUAAGAGCCGCGGUAUAUUGACCGUGCAAAGGUAGCAUAAUCAUUAGGGGUUUAAUUGGAACCUGGAAUGAAGGGUUGGACAAAGGAAAGACUGUCUUUGUGGUAAAGAUUGAAAUUUACUUUUAAGUGAAAAGGCUUAAGUGAAUCAAAGGGACGAUAAGACCCUAUAAAGCUUUAUAAAUUAUUUAUAUUAAAUUGAUUUCAAGAAUAAAAAUUGAGUUUAAUUAUUUUAUUUUGUUGGGGUGAUGUGAGUAUAAUUGUUAUUAACUGCUUAAGAAUAAUACUUUUAUAAUAGAAUUGGUGUAAUAUGAUCCUUUUUAGAGAUUAAAAGAAUAAGUUACUUUAGGGAUAACAGCGUUAUUUCUUUUGAGAGUUCAUAUCGAAAAAGAAGAUUGCGACCUCGAUGUUGAAUUAAAAUGUCUAUAUAAUGCAGCCGUUAUAAAAGAAGGUCUGUUCGACCUUUAAAUUUUU